AUGAAAACAAGAGGUAGCUAUCUAAUCCUCCUUGUCACAAUGUGCUGCCGUGAAAGUGUUGUUCUUCCUAGAAGGUCAAGUACCACUAUCUCCCUAUUAGUGGUGGUAUUGAAAAUCUCAACAGGUGAUUCAGGUUGGGGCGUAGGUUUCACAGACUGCACUAGGAGAUUCUUGUAUCGAAGUAGCUUAUUGAUGUUUCGUCCUCUCCCAUAA
rnacentral:lncRNA from 1 species